rnacentral:rRNA from 1 species
CCAUAUGCUUGUCUCAAAGAUUAAGCCAUGCAGGUCUCAGUACGGCCUCUAGCGAAAAGGCGAAACCGCGAAUGGCUCAUUAAAUCAGUUAUGGUUCCUUAGAGCUUACGUUGUCUUACUUGGAUAACCGUGGUAAUUCUAGAGCUAAUACAUGCACCGAAGCUCCGACCCUCGGGAACGAGCGCUUUUAUUAGACCGCAACGACCGUAUCCGCCGCGCUUUCCCCUCGGGGUUGCGCGGACGUGUUUGCGUGGUGACUCUGGAUAACUUAGCCGAUCGGCCGCCGCACCCCCUUCGCGGGGGGUUAAACUGCGGCCGACGCACCUUUCAAGUGUCUGCCUUAUCAACUGUCGACGGUAGGUUAAAUGCCUACCGUGGUAGUAACGGGUGACGGGGAAUCAGGGUUCGAUUCCGGAGAGGAAGCCUGAGAAACGGCUACCACAUCCAAGGAAGGCAGCAGGCUCGCAAAUUACCCACUCCCGGCACGGGGAGGUAGUGACGAAAAAUAACGAUGCGGGACUCGGUCGAGACCCCGCCAUCGGAAUGAGUACACUCUAAAUCCUUUAACGAGGAUCCACCGGAGGGCAAGUCUGGUGCCAGCAGCUGCGGUAAUUCCAGCUCCGGUAGCAUAUGCUAAAGUUGCUGCGGUUAAAAAGCUCGUAGUUGGAUCUCAGUCUCGGCCGCUCGGUCUCGCCCGUGUUGGCGGGUCUCGACGCGGCCGGUCAGAAUGUCGGCCGCCCGGGAUGAUCUUGACCGGUUGUCUCGGAACGGCCGGCGAGUUUACUUUGAAAAAAUCAGAGUGCUCAGAGCGGGCGUUAUCCGCCCGGACGCCCGUGCAUGGAAUAAUGGAAGAGGACCUCGGUUCCAGUCUGUUGGUCCACGAACCCUGAGGUAAUGAUUAAGAGGAACGGCCGGGGUCGAUCGUACCGCGACGCUAGAGGUGAAAUUCUUGGACCGUCGCGUGACGCACCACAGCGAAAGCAUUCGUCAAGAACGCUUCCGUUAAUCAAGAACGAAAGUCAGAGGUUCGAAGGCGAUCAGAUACCGCCCUAGUUCUGACCAUAAACGAUGCCGACCAGCGAUCGGGCUGCGCUCGCCACGACGAGGCGCCCGGAAGCUUUCCGGGAAACCAGAGUCUCUGGGUUCCGGGGGAAGUAUGGUUGCAAAGCUGAAACUUAAAGGAAUUGACGGAAGGGCACCACCAGGAAUGGAGCCUGCGGCUUAAUUUGACUCAACACGGGAAAACUCACCCGGCCCGGACACGGGAAGGAUUGACAGACUGAUUGCUCUUUCUUGAUUCUGUGGGUGGUGGUGCAUGGCCGUUCCUAGUUGGUGGAGCGAUUUGUCUGGUUGAUUCCGAUAACGAACGAGACUCUAGCCUGCUAAAUAGCGAGUAUUUGUACAGCGGGCGUUUUCUCUGCUCUCGAUCCCGGCGGUUUCUCCCGUCUCGCUCGCGGGGCGGGGCCGUCGGCGUGAGAGGUGCGGGAGGCAAACCCGUAAUGCUCCGGAAUCUCUUCUUAGAGGGACAAGCGACGCAUUAAAGUCGCGCGAGGAAGAGCGAUAACAGGUCUGUGAUGCCCUUAGAUGUCCGGGGCCGCACGCGCGCUACACUGACGCCCACAGCGUGCGCGCUCGCCCGGUCCGACAGGAUCGGGGAACCCCUUCAACGGACGUCGUGAUGGGGACAGGGGAUUGGAAUUGUUCCCCUCGAACGAGGAAUUCCCAGUAAGCGCGAGUCACUAGCUCGCGUUGAUUACGUCCCUGCCCUUUGUACACACCGCCCGUCGCUACUACUAAUUGAACGGUUCGGUGAGGUCCUCGGACUGGCUUACGCUGGCGGGACCCUUGUCGCUGGCUCUUCUCGGGUCGGCGUUAAUUCCCGAUGCGGUAGCCGGAAAGUCGAUCGAACCGUAUCGUUUAGAGGAAGUAAAAGUCGUAACAAGGUUUCC